GCAACUGCGACACCAACAAAAGAGUAAAUCAAAACAAUGUCUUCCGAUGAAGAGAGAGACUUCUCCGGUUCUAACCUAACAGGGUAACCACCAUCACACUUAGAUUUAGGUUGUGUUUAUAAUUCCACGGAGACUUCUUUUUCUUCUUUUUUUUUUUGGUAAAAUUAUUGCAUUUGAGAUAUACCUGAUGCAGUAGCCAUCUUCAGCAGAAGCAGAACGAAUAUUUCAGAGGAACGCCGAAGUUACUGAGAACGGUAACCAAAGAAGAAGAUAAGACGAAGAUUUCACAGAGGUUGGAAUCGAGAAAGGUACCUUAGACAGAGAUGGAGAAAAUCGACGAGGAUCCGCCGGAGACAAUGCAGGAACAGAGAGAGAGAAGAACCUGGAACAGCUCCAAGCGUGACGGAUGGGGUAGUCGGGCUGGCGCGAUGGUGUGGCGGUGCCGAUGAUGGAGGUUGAACUUGGCGGGUAGCGUGUGGGAGAGAACGAGAAAGAGAGAAAUACGAUUGUAACUACCUCUUUCCUUUUUCUUGUUUAUUAUUUAUUAGAGAAGUUGGGCUGGGCUGAACACGUAGACUACACAUAGUGGGCUAUAUGGGCCUGCAAGAGAGAAAAGAGCUGGGCCUGUGAAGAUAAAUUGAAAAUUGAGAAUUUUGGAAUAAAUGGCCGAAAAAUAGCUUGCGUGAAAUGGUCUCAGUAGAGAUGGUUGGGAAUAUAGCUUAUUCAAAUUAAUAGCACCAUUCUAAUUUUUUUUUA